GGCCGCCACUAGCAAACAACCUCAGCUUCAUAAAUCCAGCAGAAAGGUCCGGGGUAUUGUUGAAAAGGUCGGAAGGACCAAGAUUAUGUCCGCCAGCCUAAGUGGGACGAACAACCAAGUUGUGCGAUGCAGCUUUAAAGGGGCUGGUGAUUGACAGAAUGGUGUAGUAGUAGAUGGGGUGGAGCCGCUGGGUGGGGUCGAGACUGGCAGCUGAGAGAUACCAAAAGGAAGAAAAAAGAAAACCAUUGCUCUUGAUAUUGCUAAUGCCGGGGGAGGUAAGCUAACGAGAAAGUAGGGAAAAGGAAGGUUUUAGAGUUCACCUCCACUCCUUCCCCUGGCUAACACUCUUUACACUCUUCUGCCUUCCCUUGAGAUAAUUAAAAUAGACUGUACACCGGCCCUAGUCGGUGCCCAUUCCCCCUAACUCUUCACUCAACUACGUGUGUAGUCCGAGGGAGUGAGGACCCCGGGUCCAAGAGCUCAAUCCCGGCCCCGCCCCGUCGGCCCAGGCCCCGGGGCUGGGAGGAGAGGAUGCCUUCGGAGGCGCAGAAUCCGAAAAGAUGUGGUUGGAGCUGGAAGCUGUUAUCCUCAGCAAACUAAUGCAGGAGGAGAAAACCAAAUACUGCAAGUUCUCACUUAUAAGUGGGAACUGAAUGAUGAGAACAUUUGGACAUGAAGCUGGGCAGAGAAAUCGAGCUGCAAAAUGACCUACAGAUAUUACAGUUUUAUUCUUGGAAAAUGGAGGUUGUCUAUUAGUGUGAUGGUAACAACCAACUAAUAAAAUUUGGAGACUAGACUGCUUGUCAUGUCUGGGGUUCACUGGAAAUCAAUGAUUCACUGGAACAAUUCUCCUGUCAAAAAAAAUGUGAGGUUUGUAACUUGCCCUAAGUAUAACAAGGGAUAUAUUUUAACAAAGGAUGUAUUUUUUCUUAAGAAGCAACCAUUUCUCAGCUUAU
rnacentral:lncRNA from 1 species